rnacentral:rRNA from 1 species
CCUACGGGUGGCAGCAGUGAGGAAUAUUGGUCAAUGGACGAGAGUCUGAACCAGCCAAGUAGCGUGAAGGAUGACUGCCCUAUGGGUUGUAAACUUCUUUUAUAUGGGAAUAAAAUGUUCCACGUGUGGGAUUUUGUAUGUACCAUAUGAAUAAGGAUCGGCUAACUCCGUGCCAGCAGCCGCGGUAAUACGGAGGAUCCGAGCGUUAUCCGGAUUUAUUGGGUGUAAAGGGAGCGUAGGUGGAUUGUUAAGUCAGUUGUGAAAGUUUGCGGCACAACCGUAAAAUUGCAGUUGAAACUGGCAGUCUUGAGUACAGUAGAGGUGGGCGGAAUUCGUGGUGUAGCGGUGAAAUGCUUAGAUAUCACGAAGAACUCCGAUUGCGAAGGCAGUUCACUGGACUGCAACUGACACUGAGGCUCGAAAGUGUGGGUAUCAAACAGGAUUAGAUACCCGUGUAGUC